GAUGAACGCUGGCGGCGUGCCUAAUACAUGCAAGUCGAGCGAACAGACGAGGAGCUUGCUCCUCUGACGUUAGCGGCGGACGGGUGAGUAACACGUGGAUAACCUACCUAUAAGACUGGGAUAACUUCGGGAAACCGGAGCUAAUACCGGAUAAUAUAUUGAACCGCAUGGUUCAAUAGUGAAAGACGGUUUUGCUGUCACUUAUAGAUGGAUCCGCGCCGCAUUAGCUAGUUGGUAAGGUAACGGCUUACCAAGGCAACGAUGGGUAGCCGACCUGAGAGGGUGAUCGGCCACACUGGAACUGAGACACGGUCCAGACUCCUACGGGAGGCAGCAGUAGGGACUCUUCCGCAAUGGGCGAAAGCCUGACGGAGCAACGCCGCGUGAGUGCUGAAGGUCUUCGGAUCGUAAAACUCUGUUAUUAGGGAAGAACAAAUGUGUAAGUAACUAUGCACGUCUUGACGGUACCUAAUCAGAAAGCCACGGCUAACUACGUG
rnacentral:rRNA from 1 species